ACUUUUUAUUUCAAGUGGCAUUAAAAAGUCUUAAAGUCUUGAAUUUAACUUGCCUUAUGCUGUAGGAACCCUGUGUUAACUGAUGCUGUAUUUCAAUGUUUGUGGUGCUUUUCACGGUUUCAAUAAUUGUAUCUUUGUGUGUGUGUGCUUUUCCACCGUCUACCAAAUAAAGGAAACAUCCUAGUUGGAAAACAUGGCAGAUAGUAAAGAGGAGGAAUUGCGCAAAGCUGCCAUUGAUUUGGUUGCUAUGUUAAGAUCAUCAAUAAAUGGUCCAGCACCAAACAGUCUUUCCCUGGGUUAUUUAAAGAGAAGCAGAGUUCCAGGGCUCUGCUAUCUAAGAAAAGGUUUGCCCCCAAAAGAACUGCUGUGUCAUUUUUCCUGCUUAAAACCGCCUGUGAGAGAACUCCAAAACCAUCAGAGGAGAUGACCCUUCUACAGGCUGGGCUAGGACGAAGGACAGUUGACAUUGCAGCAGAUGCUGGUCAUAAGGAGGUUAGGAACCCACGGAGGAGCCUGGAAAACCUGGCAGGAAGCGGGUCCACCUGGACGCCAUCGUUGAGUUCAGGAAUGUGGACAGGAGCUGAAGCCUUGCCUGGACACUUGGAGACGUAGACAGGAGCUGAGACAUUUACCUGACCCUGAGGACGAGAAAAGGACCACUGAUGACCUCUUCAAACUUGAGACCAUGGCGGCGCUCAGGGGACAUGGGAUCACCGCAAAGAACAAAACAGCAGCAACAAAGCUUUUCAGUUUUCUUUUUUUUUUCUGCCUAAAGAAAAAUUUGUUUUGACACAUCUGCUUAGUCUAACCUGGAAAAACAAUCCAAAGGCCUGAGUUACCUUGACGUAUUUAUUUUCUUUUUCAUUUAUUUCCACGAGUUUAGACUUGCUGGGUUGUCACAGCAUGGUCUGCAGCAGAAAUCUUUCACAGACCAUGGACGUCAUUUCAAAGUGGAUUCGUCCAAAGUAGCAACAACCUAAAUGAAAAUGUGGGUCCAAACGAGUUAGCGGUGAUUGUUAUGCUGCGCAGUUUCAUUUCUAUGGAAGUGUUUAACUGCCAGACGCGAUAAAUAAAUUUAGGAGCAGUAUGUCGUAAGAACGAGACAAUUUCUGACUAUAACAACAUAAUAUUCUUUAUAUAACGAGAAAGCACCAGACAUUUAAUGUCUUAUGUUGUAUUCAUUUCAUUUCCUAAUAUUCAGGCUUAACGCACAUUUAAGGAAAAUGGUUGAAAUAGGGCUAAAGUGCAGUCUGAAAUUCCAAGAGAGGCAAAACUGCACCCGCUUCGGAUGUUAUCAUCCCAUAGAAUGGCGAUUAUCAGUGGUUAUCAGCCCCAUUGAAUAGCCUCAGUUGGUCCCUGCUCUGCCUGCUAUCAGGCUGUUAUUAACCAUUCUAUCGGUGAUAACAGCCGCUUGUCGCGAAUAGAACCUUUUUUUUUGUUUUUUUACCUUUUUUUAAAAACCUUUAUUUAUAAUGUAUCUGCGAAUUUGAACAGGAUAUUAAGAAUUUACUAAAAAUUCAAAAGCCAAACGUAUCAUAAGAUUUUAAUUAGGUAUUGUAAUAAUCGUUACAGUAUUUAAAAACAACUCACUAAAAUCUAAAACCGGAGGUUUUUUUUCCUGUUUUGUUUAUUUUUGUUCGCUUUUUUAAAGACUUAUAUUUCCAAUAUGCCUUUUAUUUCUUUGGAUUUUUUCCAAUAAUUCACUCAAAAUAAAUGCCAAAAUUUAACAUACUUGGUUAAUUUUAUUGGAUCGUGUUCUCUCAAUACAUGCCGUGUUUUUUCUUCCGG